GUGCUCACUUUGGCAGCACAUAUACUAAAAUUGGAAUGAUACAGAGAAGAUUAGCAUGGCCCCUGUGCAAGGAUGACAUGCAAAAUUUUGCUAGAAUGGCUCAAAUAGU
rnacentral:snRNA from 1 species